AGUUCAUCGUAGCGCUCAAUACAAAACAAUAUUAUUGUUACCUUUGCAUAUUUCUAAUAAACUUAUUUUAUUUUUUUCGUCUUCCUAAGAACGGAUUUGUUCAUUCCAACGAGCUUAGGUCAACCUAGAACGGGAUAUCGAAUUUUGUUGUCUGUAGGAAAAAGCGAACUAUGUUUCAGGUUCUUAAAAUGAUUCAUAUGAUGAUGAAUGCUUGUGUUUAUUAGUAGUUAUUCGAGAUGGUCUAUUAAUGUGUACGGUGUAAUUGCUGUUAUCGACAUAAUGAGUGGGUACUAUUAUCAGAGAAAUUGUGGUUUACAUCUGGCGGAUCAGCAUUGUCGAACAGGUCAGAAGACAACUGUCUUUGCAGACGGAUCGUUUCAUGCGUCAGCUCCCGAACCUGAAUGAGCAAUUCCUGAUAAUUCGAUACCGGAAGCGUCAUUGCUGUACACUGUAUCUUUCACUGCGCCCGUGCGCCCAAAUUUUGAAAGAACAGCCAUCCGAUUUGAAUCUAUAACAAAAUGAAUGUUGCUUAUCAAUACAAAAUGCAUCUUAUUUGUAUAAUUAAAUUGUGAAUGUUUACGUAUGUUAAAUAUAUAACAAGUAUAUGACAUUUAUACAUGUAAAAUAUGCAAAUAUUCACGAAGAAUAUGCAAAAUAUGUUAGUAACAUGUGUGAUAUAAGUUUAAAAAUGCGAAUAUUAUUUACGAUACAAUAUUUAAUAAGAAAUAUUUAACAAUACUUUUG
rnacentral:misc_RNA from 1 species